UACGGGGGGGGCAAGCGUUGUUCGGAAUUACUGGGCGUAAAGGGCUCGUAGGCGGCCAACUAAGUCAGCCGUGAAAUCCCUCGGCUUAACCGGGGAACUGCGUCUGAUACUGGAUGGCUUGAGAUUGGGAGAGGGAUGCGGAAUUCCAGGUGUAGCGGUGAAAUGCGUAGAUAUCUGGAGGAACACCGGUGGCGAAGGCGGCAUCCUGGACCAACACUGACGCUGAGUGAGCGAAAGCCAGGGGAGCAAACGGG
rnacentral:rRNA from 1 species